rnacentral:rRNA from 1 species
AUUGAACGCUGGCGGCAUGCCUUACACAUGCAAGUCGAACGGCAGCACGGGAGCAAUCCUGGUGGCGAGUGGCGAACGGGUGAGUAAUAUAUCGGAACGUGCCCAGUCGUGGGGAUAACGUAGCGAAAGCUACGCUAAUACCGCAUACGAUCUAUGGAUGAAAGCGGGGGAUCGCAAGACCUCGCGCGAUUGGAGCGGCCGAUAUCAGAUUAGGUAGUUGGUGAGGUAAAGGCUCACCAAGCCGACGAUCUGUAGCUGGUCUGAGAGGACGACCAGCCACACUGGGACUGAGACACGGCCCAGACUCCUACGGGAGGCAGCAGUGGGGAAUAUUGGACAAUGGGCGAAAGCCUGAUCCAGCAAUGCCGCGUGAGUGGUGAAGGCC